rnacentral:rRNA from 1 species
AUUGAACGCUGGCGGCAUGCCUUACACAUGCAAGUCGAACGGCAGCACGGGAGCAAUCCUGGUGGCGAGUGGCGAACGGGUGAGUAAUAUAUCGGAACGUGCCCAGUCGUGGGGAUAACGUAGCGAAAGCUACGCUAAUACCGCAUACGAUCUAUGGAUGAAAGCGGGGGAUCGCAAGACCUCGCGCGAUUGGAGCGGCCGAUAUCAGAUUAGGUAGUUGGUGAGGUAAAGGCUCACCAAGCCGACGAUCUGUAGCUGGUCUGAGAGGACGACCAGCCACACUGGGACUGAGACACGGCCCAGACUCCUACGGGAGGCAGCAGUGGGGAAUUUUUGGACAAUGGGCGGCAAGCCUGAUCCAGCAAUGCCGCGUGCAGGAUGAAGGCCUCGGUUGGUU